rnacentral:tRNA from 1 species
GAAAUAUAAACAAAUUAAUGCUUUUUAAAAAGUUAGAAGCUUUUUUUAGAAUAUUUCUUU